rnacentral:lncRNA from 1 species
GGGCAGCAGGGGCCUGGGCCUUCCCCAGGAAACCAUUUUUUCCUCCUAGGCCUCUAAGCCUGUGAUGAGAGGGUCUGCCAUGAAAGUCUGUGAUAUUUCUUAGAGGCCUUUUCUCCUUUGUCUUGACUAUCAGCACUUGCUUUGCUUUUGGUUAUGCAAAUUUCUGCAGCCUGCUUGGAUUUCUUUCCUAAAAAUAGGCUUUCCUUUCCUACCACAUGGCCAGACUGCAAAUUUUCCAAACUUUCAUGCUCUGCUUCCCUUUUAAAUAUAAAUUCCUGUUUCAGAUCAUUUCUUUGCUCACACACUUCACACUUUUCCAAACUCUGU